AAGAGAAAGCAAGAGCGAUUGCCUUAGUAGCGGCGAGCGAAACGGCAGGAGGGCAAACCGAGAAGUUUACUUCUCGGGGUUGUAGGACUGUAAUGUGGACGGAUAGAGUAUAGAAGAAUGACAUGGGAAGGUCAGCCAAAGAGAGUGAGAGCCUCGUAUUUGAAAUAGUCUAUCUACCUAACAGUAUCCUGAGUACGGCGAGACACGCGAAAUCUCGUCGGAAUCCGGGAGGACCAUCUCCCAACCCUAAAUACUCCCUAGUGACCGAUAGUGAACCAGUACCGUGAGGGAAAGGUGAAAAGCACCCCGGAAGGGGAGUGAAAUAGAACCUGAAACCGUGUGCCUACAAGAAGUUCGAGCCCGUUAAUGGGUGAGAGCGUGCCUUUUGUAGAAUGAACCGGCGAGUUACGUUAUGAUGCGAGGUUAAGUUGAAGAGACGGAGCCGUAGGGAAACCGAGUCUUAAUAGGGCGGAUUAGUAUUAUGUCGUAGACCCGAAACCAUGUGACCUACCCAUGAGCAGGUUGAAGGUGCGGUAAGACGCACUGGAGGACCGAACCAGGGCACGUUGAAAAGUGCUUGGAUGACUUGUGGGUAGCGGAGAAAUUCCAAACGAACUUGGAGAUAGCUGGUUCUCUCCGAAAUAGCUUUAGGGCUAGCGUCGACAUUGAGAAUCUUGGAGGUAGAGCACUGUUUGGAUGAGGGGGCCAUCUCGGUUUACUGAUUUCAGAUAAACUCCGAAUGCCAAUGAUUUAUGGUCGGCAGUCAGACUGCGAGUGCUAAGAUCCGUAGUCGAAAGGGAAACAGCCCAGACCACCAGCUAAGGUCCCAAAAUAAUUGUUAAGUGGAAAAGGAUGUGGGGUUGCACAGACAACUAGGAUGUUAGCUUAGAAGCAGCUAUUCAUUCAAAGAGUGCGUAAUAGCUCACUAGUCGAGUGACCCUGCGCCGAAAAUGUACCGGGGCUAAAACAAUUUACCGAAGCUGUGGAUAACACGAAAGUGUUAUGGUAGGAGAGCGUUCUAUGUGUGAAGAAGGUAUACCGUGAGGAGUGCUGGAACGCAUAGAAGUGAGAAUGCCGGUAUGAGUAGCGCAAGAUGGGUGAGAAUCCCAUCCACCGUAAGACUAAGGUUUCCAGGGGAAGGUUCGUCCGCCCUGGGUUAGUCGGGACCUAAGGAGAGACCGAAAGGUGUAUCCGAUGGACAACAGGUUGAUAUUCCUGUACUAGUGUAUAUAGUGAUGGAGGGACGCAGUAGGCUAACUAAACCCAGCGAAUGGAAGUGCUGGGCUAAACAGUGAGGUGUGCUAGGAGUUAAAUGCUUCUAGCUAUAACAUUGAGCUGUGAUGGGGAGCGAAGUUUAGUAGCGAAGUUAGUGACGUCACACUGCCAAGAAAAGCUUCUAGCGUUUAAGUAUACACUACCCGUACCGCAAACCGACACAGGUAGUCGAGGCGAGUAGCCUCAGGUGAUCGAGAGAACUCUCGUUAAGGAACUCGGCAAAAUGACCCCGUAACUUCGGGAGAAGGGGUGCUGACUUUUAGUCAGCCGCAGUGAAUAGGCCCAAGCAACUGUUUAUCAAAAACACAGCUCUCUGCUAAAUCGUAAGAUGAUGUAUAGGGGGUGACGCCUGCCCGGUGCUGGAAGGUUAAGAGGAGCGCUUAGCGUAAGCGAAGGUGUGAAUUGAAGCCCCAGUAAACGGCGGCCGUAACUAUAACGGUCCUAAGGUAGCGAAAUUCCUUGUCGGGUAAGUUCCGACCCGCACGAAAGGCGUAAUGAUUUGGGCGCUGUCUCGACAAUGCAUCCGGUGAAAUUGAAGUGCCAGUGAAGAUGCUGGCUACCCGCGCCAGGACGGAAAGACCCCAUGGAGCUUUACUCCAGCCUGGCACUGGGACCCGGUACCGCCUGCACAGGAUAGGCGGGAGGCGAGGAAGGUGCGGCCCAGGCCGCGCCGGAGCCGAUGUUGGGAUACCACCCUUGUGGCACUGGGUUUCUAACCGUGCGCCGUGAAGCCGGCGCAGGGACAAUGCCAGGCGGGGAGUUUGACUGGGGCGGUCGCCUCCGAAAGAGUAUCGGAGGCGCUCAAAGGUCCACUCAGGAUGGACGGGAACCAUCCGCAGAGCGCAAAGGCAGAAGUGGGCUUGACUGCGACACCGACGGGUGGAGCAGGUACGAAAGUAGGACUUAGUGAUCCGGUGGCAGAAAGUGGGAUUGCCAUCGCUCAACGGAUAAAAGCUACCCUGGGGAUAACAGGCUGAUCACUCCCAAGAGCUCACAUCGACGGAGUGGUUUGGCACCUCGAUGUCGGCUCAUCGCAUCCUGGGGCUGUAGUAGGUCCCAAGGGUUGGGCUGUUCGCCCAUUAAAGCGGUACGCGAGCUGGGUUCAGAACGUCGUGAGACAGUUCGGUCCCUAUC
rnacentral:rRNA from 1 species